rnacentral:lncRNA from 1 species
CACUCUGUCAUUUGUCACUUGGUUCAAUCGAGUGACUGCUUAAGUCUGCUGUGCCUUCUUGAGUAAAUGACAUGAUUCGACAUCCAAAAUGCAUCACUGGUUAAAUUCUUUAUCACUCACAGCUUUCCAGUAUAUAUAUAUGAGUUACCAAUUUCCUUGAAUUUGAAGAGGCUUAUGGAUACAUAGUAACCUUAGCUUAAGCUUGAGCACAUAACUCAUACAGGUUAGGCACAAAUUCACCUUACUAAUACGGAACCUUUGCAUUGUUUUCUUUGAAAAUAAAUCAGAAACAAUAGAUAGAAGAUAUGCAAUAUUUUCUGGCAUAAGAAAAUUUUUUUAAAUAUAAAAGCAAUUUAAUAAGUGUAUUGUUAUAUUUCUCUAAAGAAUGACAUGGUCUUAAGUGAUCAUAUUUCUGGAAGGAGAAGACCAUUAGUCCAAUUUUGUUAGGCAUUUGAGACAUCAGAUAUUAUAUGCAUGAAAUAUAUAGCUGAUUGCCAAUCAUCUAUUUUGAGUUCUCAAGAAAUAGAUAUAUAAGCUUCAGUUUUGCUUUUAACAUUAAAAGGCAUUCUUCAUUGCAACAGCUUUGGAUAAUUGUCUUUUAUUCAUACCUAAAGGGACUUGUAUAGGCAUGAGAUGUUGCACUCUUCUAGGGCCCAAAUAAUAAGUGGACAAUUUAGAGUUAGCUUAAAAUCUUGUGGCAGACAACUUGUUUGCAAUUGUUUUUGGAUAUAUUUACACCAGAAGCCAAGCGUUGCUGAGGCUUAUCACUAUGUGACAGAAAUGAAUGAGUUUCAGUUAUAUUUGAAGUCCUCUCCAAUGCCUGUAUCAUUUUUAUUUCUUGGACCGCU